UACGUAGGGGGCAAGCGUUGUCCGGAUUCACUGGGUGUAAAGGGCGCGCAGGCGGGCCUGCAAGUCAGGGGUGAAAUCCUACAGCUUAACUGUAGAACUGCCUUUGAGACUGCAGGUCUUGAGUACGGAAGAGAGAGACGGAAUUCCAGGUGUAGUGGUGAAAUACGUAGAUAUCUGGAAGAACACCAGUUGCGAAGGCGGUCUCUUGGUCCGAUACUGACGCUCAGGCGCGAAAGCGUGGGGAGCAAACAGG
rnacentral:rRNA from 1 species